AUUGAACGCUGGCGGCAGGCCUAACACAUGCAAGUCGAACGAGUGGCGGACGGGUGAGUAAUGUCAGGGAAACUGCCUGAUGGAGGGGGUUAACUACUGGAAACGGUAGCUAAUACCGCAUACCAUCAGAUGUGCCCAGAUGGGAUUAGCUAGUUGGUGGGGUAACGGGUCACCAAGGAGACGAUCCCUAGCUGGUCUGAGAGGAUGACAGGCCACACUGGAACUGAGACACGGGCCAGACUCCUACAGGAGGAAGCUGUGGGGAAUAUUGCACAAUGGGCGCAAGCCUGAUGCAGCCAUGCCGCGUGUAUGUAGAGGGCAUUCGGGUUGUAAAGUUCUUUAAGCGGGGAGGCGUUACCCGCAGAAGAAGCGCCGGCUAACUCCGUGCCAACCGCCGCGGUAAUUC
rnacentral:rRNA from 1 species